rnacentral:rRNA from 1 species
CCUACGUGGGGCAGCAGUGGGGAAUAUUGGACAAUGGGGGGAACCCUGAUCCAGCGACGCCGCGUGAGUGAGGAAGUAUUUAGGUAUGUAAAGCUCUAUCAGCAGGGAAGACAAUGACGGUACCUGACUAAGAAGCCCCGGCUAACUACGUGCCAGCAGCCGCGGUAAUACGUAGGGGGCAAGCGUUAUCCGGAUUUACUGGGUGUAAAGGGAGCGUAGACGGAGUAGCAAGUCUGAUGUGAAAGAACGGGGCUCAACCCCGGGACUGCAUUGGAAACUGUUGAACUAGAGUGACGGAGAGGUAAGCGGAAUUCCUAGUAGAGCGGUGAAAUGCGUAGAUAUUAGGAGGAACACCAGUGGCGAAGGCGGCUUACUGGACUGUAACUGACGUUGAGGCUCGAAAGCGUGGGGAGCAAACAGGAUUAGAUACCCUGGCAGUC